AUAUUUCCAUCGAUAUUUCCGUGUUUUCGGACUACCGAUAUUUCCGAUAUUACCGAUAUUUUCUUCCUUGGUUAUUACAAUGCUCGACCGCUCGUUACUACUCAAACAUUGAAUAAAAACACAAUGAAAUAUCCCUUCUGAAUUAGUAAUGGUCUGACAGAGAAAUUGUUUGGGCACAGCUUGCAACAUUACUCUAGAGCGAUUGAUAACUUGGUAGAUCGGUCUUUGAAAUAGAUUAGUUCUAAGGUUGUAAGCAUGAUCCCAUUAAAGAGUUUGUGAGGGAGAAUCGUCAGCACAAAGUAUUAUUCAGCUCUUUUAAGCUAAUAAUAUCACUUCUAGAUUUUAAGAUCUGGUAGAUCACAUUUGGUAUACUAAUCCCCUUUGAAAUUGGAUAUGUGUGUGAGCGGUGCAGGGAAUGCUCUUCUUUCAAUUGCGGUCACUCAGUACUGUUGAAUCACUUACUGUCACAUUCUUCAGCAGCAGCCUGGUUUCUUGAAUUCAUAUUUGCUUUCAAAUAUCAUCAAAUCAUUUUAAACUAUCUUCCAUUGUUUACCAAGGAUUUGAUCCGCAUCUUUGCCCUUAUACCAAGGAUUUGAUCCGCAUCUUUGCCCUUAUACCUAUUUGAGGACUCAAACAGGAGACAGUAAGAUUAUUGGAAAGGCGGAAGUUAAAAGUAUUUUUACUAGCCAAGUCAAUUUAUAAAUUAAAUUCCAGUUAACAGUUUUUCUAGAGUAUUAACUGUUAAGAAAUUUGACUAAAAGGCAUAGUUAAGGUUUUCCAGGGUUCAGAGAAUUAGUGUUUGCUUUGACUUUAUAAUUUGUAUCUCUUAUAAAAUAACUCAAAUUAGUAGCAUUCCAUGCAUACUGUCUUGAAGAUUGUGUAUUUACCUGCCAAUUUAUGAUUUAAGCUGUUGAAGUAAUAAUAGAAAAUAUGAAAAUAACAAAAAGAAUUACAAUAAUAAUAGUUACAAAGAGAUUCACAACAUCAAUUAUGUAUAAGAUUAAUAUAAACAACUAGAGAGAAAGUUAGAAAAACUGACAAACUUGGAGAUUGAGGCUUGCAUAAAUGCAAUGUCCUAAAGAUAAAAUUUCACCCCUACUCUUGUGCUUGUAGUUCGGUAAGCGUCUGUCUCCCAUGAUUCAACAAUCUAUAAUCCGAAGUCGAAACACUUCAAUCUUCGGACUCAGGUGAACUUCAUAUAUUAUGUACUCUCAAGACACGACUCGAAAUUUGACUAACAAAGAAUAAAAGACCUUAGAGAAAAACUCUUCUCUGUUUUUAAUUCUUCUAUUUCUCUCACGGCUAUACUAAUGUGAGUUUAUAUAAAACCUAAGAUACUGAUUGAUUAAGAGAUAAAAACAUUCAUCUAUUGGAUGAUACCUUUACCAAGGCAUGCCUUGAUCCCUUUCAAAUGGUUAAAUAUUUUUCAUUAAAUAUUAUAAUUAUUAAUAUUAUCUUUAAUAUUAGAAAGCCAGAAUGAGAGUUUGGUGUCUCAAGGCUUCACCAAAAAUAAUUGGACUAUAAAGCCCCUUAAACAAAAAAAUCCAUAACUAGCUAAAAAUAAUACAAACAAAAGAGCCAGGAUAAUUUUGUCAUAAAAAAAUAAAUUAACAAAAUAGUAGAAGCAGUUUAUUCCCACUACCGUGCGAGAAGAACACGCGUAAUGGAAGGAAACUGCAGUUUUCUUCCAACCGUACCAGCAUAAAUACAAAGGAGUUUUCUUCCCACUAAUUCACUCAGAUCCAACCGCACCAGCAACUUUCAUGUAAGCUCUGAUCUUCCUCUCACUCUAUCUCAAUUACCCAUUUGUUGGGUGAUAGGAGCAUUUUUAUGCGACUUAAUUGGCUUGUUCUCAUGCAUUUAUGUUGUUUUUCCUUAGUUAGUUUAGUGUUUAAAGUCAUUUUCGUGCAAUUUCAGGUUUUAUUGUCAAAGUAUGCAAAAAGGAGCAUUUUGGAGCUUUUAGGAGCAAAAUUGGGCUUGGAAUGAAGUGCAUAUGCAUGGAGCAAGGAGUUUGGACGAAUUUGAAGUGAAAACAUCAAAUGAACAUGCUAAAAAUCUGGUGAAACAAAUACAAAGUGCAAGAAGGGAUAGGUUUCUAGAAGGAUUGGCCAAAACUUCACUCAAAAACCUCAAUGCCGUGGCUUUUACUUAAAAGCAACCAGAAAUUUGAGUGGAUGAUGCAAUGCUUAACUCACCAUGACAUGUGAGUGGAUGAUGCAAUGCUUAGCUCACCAUGACAUGUGAGUGGAUGACUCAAAACCUACCCCAACAACAAUUCUCCACCAUUUCCGUGAGUUUACCUACCCAUUCCACCAGAAAUUUGUGCUUAAACAAGUCCAUCCUCUCCCUAUAAAUACCAUGCAGCAACCUCAUUCAAUUCAUCCAGAAAUUAACCAUUCUCCAAGCCUUUCCUUGCCUCUCCUACAUAUCUAAACCCCUUCCCAUCCAU
rnacentral:lncRNA from 1 species